rnacentral:rRNA from 1 species
UACGGGGGGAGCAAGCGUUGUUCGGAUUUCCUGGGCGUAAAUGGCGCGUAGGGGGUCGUGACAAGUCACUUGUGAAAUCUCCGGGCUUAACUCGGAACGGUCAAGUGAUACUGUCGGACUAGAGUACAGAAGGGGCAACUGGAAUUCUCGGUGUAGCGGUGAAAUGCGUAGAUAUCGAGAGGAACACCUGCGGCGAAGGCGGGUUGCUGGGCUGACACUGACGCUGAGGCGCGAAAGCUAGGGGAGCGAACGGG